ensembl:lncRNA
UUACAAAGAUUUCAACCCUUAAUUCUCUGGUCUGAUGGCUUACAAACACAACAACACAGAAUACUGCAGCGGCAGCCCUUCACAGAUGCACGCCACAAAAUGCACAGCGCCCACAAACAACACUUCACUUUCACAACUUUGAGAGCACACAUGAAGCCCUCUUGUGGUCACUAUGGAGAACAGCACAUGAAAGACUUGUCCUGUAUUCUUGAUCCACAUGAUGGUGAGUUGAAUCCAAAGCCUGUCCUACAGUGUCAGAAAUUCUCUCUGCUCUUCAUACUGUAUUACUCUUUCAGACGCAAGGAGUUUCCCCUGAUCUCUCCAGCUCGAGAUUACUCCCCUGAAACUAAUGUGUGA